rnacentral:rRNA from 1 species
ACGGGGCGCAGCAGGCGCGGUAAUACGUAGGGUGCAAGCGUKGUCCGGAAUUAUUGGGCGUAAAGAGCUCGUAGGCGGUCUGUCGCGUCUGCUGUGAAAACCCGAGGCUCAACCUCGGGCUUGCAGUGGGUACGGGCAGACUAGAGUGCGGUAGGGGAGAUUGGAAUUCCUGGUGUAGCGGUGGAAUGCGCAGAUAUCAGGAGGAACACCGAUGGCGAAGGCAGAUCUCUGGGCCGUAACUGACGCUGAGGAGCGAAAGCGUGGGGAGCAAACAGGCUUAGAUACCCUGGUAGUCCACGCCGUAAACGUUGGGAACUAGAUGUGGGGACCAUUCCACGGUCUCCGUGUCGUAGCUAACGCAUUAAGUUCCCCGCCUGGGGAGUACGGCCGCAAGGCUAAAACUCAAAGGAAUUGACGGGGGCCCGCACAAGCGGCGGAGCAUGCGGAUUAAUUCGAUGCAACGCGAAGAACCUUACCAAGGCUUGACAUAUACGAGAACGCGCUGGAGACAGCGAACUCUUUGGACACUCGUAUACAGGUGGUGCAUGGUUGUCGUCAGCUCGUGUCGUGAGAUGUUGGGUUAAGUCCCGCAACGAGCGCAACCCUCGUCCUAUGUUGCCAGCACGUCAUGGUGGGAACUCAUGGGAUACUGCCGGGGUCAACUCGGAGGAAGGUGGGGAUGAGGUCAAAUCAUCAUGCCCCUUAUGUCUUGGGCUUCACGCAUGCUACAAUGGCCGGUACAAUGGGCUGCGAUACCGCAAGGUGGAGCGAAUCCCAAAAAGCCGGUCUCAGUUCGGAUUGAGGUCUGCAACUCGACCUCAUGAAGUCGGAGUCGCUAGUAAUCGCAGAUCAGCAACGCUGCGGUGAAUACGUUCCCGGGCCUUGUACACACCGCCCGUCAAGUCAUGAAAGUCGGUAACACCCGAAGCCGGUGGCCUAACCUUUUGGAGGGAGCCGUCGAAGGUGGGAUCGGUGAUUAGGACUAAGUCGUAACAAGGUAAC